rnacentral:lncRNA from 1 species
UCCUCCCUUUCCUGCUCCUCCAAAUCCACCUCCUCCCCUUCCACCUCCACCAAAUCCACCUCCCUUUCUUAUAGUAAGAGAUAGUUCAUGUUUGUGAUCAUUCCGACUUUCCACGAACCCAUCGUUUUGGUUCAAAGCUUGAGCACUUGAGAUCAUCAAUAGGAAGAGUACAGAAAGUAUUAUCUUCAUGCUAGGCCUAAGGGAUUCUUUGCAAAUAAUUGGAAUCACUUGUUUGCUUUAAACAAUGUCCAGACACAGAACCUGCAAAAUAGAUUUUGAACUUUAGUCAUUGGUAGGGUUUAGGGUUUUGGAAAGGGAGUUAUAUAAAGGGUGAGAUGAGAAUUGAGAGUCUAAAGUGUACCCCUAAAAACUGGUCCAAUUAAUGACAACCUAUUACACAAUGGAUUAGCAAAUCAACUUGAUAUUAAAAUUAAUAUUAAGAAUCGAACAAACAAACAAUAAAUUCGACUUACUUAGGCACAUGCAUGAACAAACAAACAAUAAAUUCGAUAGCGAUAAUAUAUAUACAUGCUGAAAUUAAUAUUAAGAGUUUAAUAUGCAUACCUGAAAGUGAGAAACUUGAAACAAAGUGAAGAAUUGUGAAUAACAAGCAAACGACGAUUAUAACUCUCAAUAUCGACUGACUCUUUUUGUUUCCC